AUUCUUGAGGAUGAUAAAUGCAUUUAGGUUAAACUAGAGGUUUCAUAUUGAAUUUAGGCUCAAACGGCCAACAAAGUUGCUUCUCGGAAAAUAUUUGAGCUCUAUAAAUAUUGCAAUUCUUUAUCCCCAUAUCCUUCAAGUUUCCAUCAUUUUCUCUCACUUUCUUUCGAAUACUUUUUGUGACCAAAUUCAUCGAUGGCCGGCCUUCAAUACAACUUCUUUCCAACCGAUUUCUUGUAUCCCCAAUCUACAAAGAUAAGUAAAGAUGUUUUACUUCCACAAACUCUUCCAUUAAUUAUCCAAAAACCAGAAAUCUUACUUGAAGAUUCAACCAAAAUGAAGUCUGCUAAUGGUAUCAAGAAGCAAAUCAAGACUCCAAAGCUUUCCACGCAUCAAUAAACAUAUAUGAGCACAUCAUGUCUUCAUGAUGUUCAAAUACAGAUUACCAAGUAUUUGUAUUAAUAGAACUCUUUUAACGUUCUAUAUAUUUUGUUUUUUUUUCUUUGUAGAUCUUGUUUAUUUUGAUAUCACUUCGAAUGUAUACAACUUAUAAAUACAAAUUAAUAAUACGGGGCUAACAUGAAUAUGAACUAGCUUAUGUUCAUUUUAUAUUGUUUCUAGUUGUUUUACUUCACCUUUUGUUCUUAUUUUUGCUUUUUCCUUGCCAUAUAUGUCUGUACAAUUUAUAAUGUUUUAUUUAAAACAUAGUUCAAUAAAAGCACAUGUCUAACAAUUGAUUACUUAAAGAGUAAAAUGUCUUUGUUGAUACAAAUUUUAAUUUUGUGGAAAAUAAUCAAUCUGUAUAACUAUUUGCUAGUAAGUAAAUAAAUAAUUUGGAUGAAUAUUUAAAAUAUGCAUUUUCAAACAACUGGAAACAUUGUAACUUUUUAGACUGUAGAGUGUGGUCUUCGCACCUCCUCAGCAUCGAUAUCUCCUUCAAUCGAUUGAUAUGUUCCUUCCAUCACCAACGAUCCUCUUCCUAUUUAACGAUGCUUCAAUAAAUUUCAUGAAAUUGAUGUUUCUAGUUCUCCAUCCACCACUACCAGUCGUCUUCCUCUUCAAUCGAUUGUUGGGAUUUGAUUUAUAAAAUCGAUUUGGCUUCCUACCAGAAAUCUUGAAUUUUGUUAUGGGUUUGUCCUUCUCACCAUUUUCAUUCGCUUGGGAAGAAAUCAUGCAUCAUAGUUUCAUAAUCUUGCCUUAUGAACUUGAUAUUGGAUUACAAACCGAUGGCUUUUGAAAAUCUGAAUCAAACUUGAAAUAUCUACAUCAAGAGAAAAUUGUUCAAUCAAUGGUCUUAGAUUGCUAAUCAGUGUAUUGUUGAUUUGUUUUGUUUUUUAUGGAAUUUAAUAAGCAGAGGUAUUUUAGGUACAAAAAUAUUAUAUGCAUGUUUUGUUCUAAAUGUUGAAUCAAA